UUGUCAUGAUUGGCCCCCAUGGCUUUCUCUCUUGAUCCUUCUGAGUAUCAGAAUAAGUAUGAUCCAGGACUGGAAGACAUCCAUGUAUGACUGCAAGGUGCUAGAAAGAGUGGAAACAUAUUGCUUGAGGAGCACACUAGGGUCUAGGAACAUGUUGGGGCAUUAUGACGCAAGGAAGUAGGAACUAAUGCACACUCACUCGGCUUUGCUGUGAGAGCCUCCUGGAUUAGAUGAUUUCCCUAUACAUUUUAAGGGUAAAUGGACACUGGCUCCCACACUGCUUUCUGGGAGGAUCUGUUCUAACUUGGAAAAGGAUCUCGUAUGUCCUGGAACAAGGCAGAAUUAGUGGCUUUUUACUCAUCUUCUGGGUGUUCAGCUCCUCUCUAUCAGGGCUGGAGACUGCAGACAGAAUGUAACAGCUGGAUAGAGUCUGGUAAGGGCAUUUUAUAUAAGCCUUGCUGGAUGUAACAAGGGCACCAUUCAUAUUUCUCCUCUUUUACUCAGUAACUUUAAUUCUUCAUUUUUAUCCUGCAAAUAGCACAAUAGGGAGUGAAGAUUUUCUCCUAAAGAUGCAGAGCCAGGCUGUCUCACAAUGGUCAAUAGGAAACAGCCCAGAG
rnacentral:lncRNA from 1 species